UACGUAGGGUGCGAGCGUUGUCCGGAAUUAUUGGGCGUAAAGAGCUCGUAGGCGGCCUGUUGCGUCGGUUGUGAAAGCCCGGGGCUUAACCCCGGGUCUGCAGUCGAUACGGGCAGGCUAGAGUUCGGUAGGGGAGAUCGGAAUUCCUGGUGUAGCGGUGAAAUGCGCAGAUAUCAGGAGGAACACCGGUGGCGAAGGCGGGUCUCUGGGCAACAACUGACGCUGAGGAGCGAAAGCGUGGGGAGCGAACAGG
rnacentral:rRNA from 1 species